rnacentral:rRNA from 1 species
UACGUAGGUGGCGAGCGUUGUCCGGAAUUAUUGGGCGUAAAGGGCGCGUAGGCGGUUGUUUAAGUCAGAUGUGAAAGCCCCCGGCUCAACUGGGGAGAGCCAUCUGAUACUGGGCGACUAGAGUGCAGGAGAGGAAAGUGGAAUUCCAUGUGUAGCGGUGAAAUGCGUAGAUAUAUGGAGGAACACCAGUGGCGAAGGCGGCUUUCUGGACUGCAACUGACGCUGAGGCGCGAAAGCUGGGGGAGCG